rnacentral:rRNA from 1 species
GGACAAUCUGCCCUGAAGAAGAGAAUAAUCCCGGGAAACUGGGGGUAAUGCUCUAUAGUCCGGGAGGACUGGAAUGUUCUCCGGAUGAAAGAUCCGUCGCUUCAGGAUGAGUCUGCGGCCGAUUAGGUAGUUGUUGGGGUAAAAGCCCAACAAGCCUGUAAUCGGUACGGGUUGUGGGAGCAAGAGCCCGGAGAUGGAUUCUGAGACACGAAUCCAGGCCCUACGGGGCGCAGCAGGCGCGAAAACUUUACAAUGCGGGCAACCGUGAUAAGGAAACCCCGAGUGCCACCACAGGGUGGCUGUCCACCAGUGUAAACAACUGGUGAAGAAAGGGCCGGGCAAGACCGGUGCCAGCCGCCGCGGUAAUACCGGCGGCUCGAGUGGUGGCCGCUUUUACUGGGCCUAAAGGGUCCGUAGCUGGAUCUGUGUGUCCCUUGAGAAAUCCAUCGGCUUAACUGAUGGGCGUUCAGGGGAAACUGCAGUUCUAGGGACCGGGAGAGGUGAGAGGUACUGCCGGGGUAGGAGUGAAAUCCUGUAAUCCCGGUGGGACGACCUAUGGCGAAGGCAUCUCACCAGAACGGCUCCGACAGUGAGGGACGAAAGCUGGGGGAGCAAACCGGAUUAGAUACCCGGGUAGUCCCAGCUGUAAACUAUGCGCAUUAGGUGUGUCAGUGACCAUGUGUCACUGAGGUGCCGAAGGGAAACCGUGAAAUGCGCCGCCUGGGGAGUACGGUCGCAAGGCUGAAAC